rnacentral:tRNA from 1 species
GAGGGUGUAGCUCAGUGUUAGAGCACAUGCUUAGCAUGCACGAAGUCCUGGGUUUAAUCCCCAGAACCUCCA